GCAUAUCAAUAAGCGGAGGAAAAGAAACCAACAGGGAUUGCGUCAGUAGCGGCGAGUGAAGCGGCAAGAGCUCAGAUUUGAAAUCGUGUUUUGCGGCGCGAGUUGUAGAUUGCAGGUUGGAGUUUGUGUGGACGGUGGUGUCCAACUCCCUUGGAACAGGGCGCCCAGGAGGGUGAGAGCCCCGUGCGAUGCCGGCGGAAGCAGUGAGGCCCUUCUUACGAGUCGAGUUGUUUGGGAAUGCAGCUCCAAGCGGGUGGUAAAUUCCAUCUAAGGAUAAAUACUGGUGUGAGACCGACAGCGAACAAGUACUGUGAAGGAAAGAUCAAAAGCACUCUGAAAAGAGAGUGAAACAGCACGUGAAAUUGUUGAAAGGGAAGGGUAUUGCGCCUGACAUGGGGAUUGCGCACCGCUGCCUGUUGUGGGCGGCGCUCUGGGCUUUCCCUGGGCCAGCAUCGGUUCUUGCUGCAGGAGACGGGGUUCUGGAACGUGGCUCUUCCGAGUGUCAUAGCCAGGGCCAGAUCUGCGUGCGGGGUCCGAGGACUGCGGCCGUGUAGUGACGGAUGCGCGAAGGAACUGGUG
rnacentral:rRNA from 1 species